rnacentral:tRNA from 1 species
GAAACUUAGGAUUACUUAAACCGAAGG